AAUGAACGCUGGCGGCAGGCCUAACACAUGCAAGUCGAGCGAGCAUUUCGGUGCUAGCGGCGGACGGGUGUGUAACGCGUGGGAACGUGCCCUUUUCUGCGGAAUAGUCCUGGGAAACUGGGGGUAAUACCGCAUACGCCCUUUUGGGGCAAGAUUUAUCGGAGAAGGAUCGGCCCGCGUUGGAUUAGGUAGUUGGUGGGGUAAUGGCCCACCAAGCCGACGAUCCAUAGCUGGUUUGAGAGGAUGAUCAGCCACACUGGGACUGAGACACGGCCCAGACUCCUACGGGAGGCAGCAGUGGGGAAUCUUAGAAAAUGGGGGCAACCCUGAUCUAGCCAUGCCGCGUGAGUGAUGAAGGCCUUAGGGUUGUAAAGCUCUUUCAGCUGGGAAGAUAAUGACGGUACCAGCAGAAGAAGCCCCGGCUAACUCCGUG
rnacentral:rRNA from 1 species